GGUCUUGCCAUUGCUGAACCUUCCUGUAGGACCAGCAGGAAAAUCACUCCCAUAUGGCAAGUAAUUGGCUUUGUAAGUAUCAAGGUCAUUAUCAUUGCCAUUAACUGCGAACGAGUCUCCAAAAAUGAAAUAACAAGGAACUUGCUCUUGUUGCUGUUGCUGCUUUCCAAAAACACAACAUUGCAGGUUUGAAACAGUUAACAGAACAAACACCAACCAGCGUAAAUCUGAUUGCUUGGUAAUCAUUGCUGAAAUGAAAUAUCAAGAAUCUGCAAGAAUUUGAUAAAAAAAAAAUGAAAGGGAGAGGAAGAAGGUAUUUUAAAAAAG
rnacentral:misc_RNA from 1 species